CGUGUACUUUGCGGCCAAUGGAUUUUCGUUUUGAAAUGAGAAAACCAAAAUCGGGAAACGAGCUGUUUCCCGAUUACCAUAUAGAGAUAGGAAAACAAAAAUCCGAAAAUGACCCAUUUUCCGAAUUUUGUUUUGAUAAUAGAAAACGGAAAACGGUAAAACGACCAGUUAUCUGAUUUUCUUUGAUGUGCUUAAACAUGGACAUCGGGAAUUAAAAUACUGCGUGGAAAUCUUCUUUCUCAAUUUUGCGAAUAUUUUUGUGUUGUGACCCGGAAGCUAUCAGUAGUUGGCGCGCGGUGUAUUUAAUUUGGAGCCAAGCUAUCAGUAGUUGGCGGUGUAUUUAAUUUGGAGCCAGACAUCCUUGAGACACACCUCAAAAUGGCAUUGCACGAAUAUGCAGGUUUUAUUUCAGAACACCGAAAUAAUGGAAUGUCCUGUGGGGAUAUCGCCACUGCGUUAUGCACCCAGUUUGGAACUACACGGGGGUUUUCCGAGAGGAAUGUGCGGAGGUGGUGUGCUGAGCAGGGGCUUGUCAGGGACUUCUGCCCUGAUAGUCAACUUGAAGUUGAAGUCGCUGAAGGUAUUCUCGAGACUGGAUCGUCUUUUGGUCGAAAAAUGAUGACUGGAUAUCUAUCCGCAAAAGGGGUUAAAGCUUCUGAAGGCAGAGUGGGCAAUGUGUUGAGAAGUAUUCAUCAACCCUACCACAUUGCAAGACAGCAGGGUGCCCGGAAUCUGAACCCCAUACCCUACAAUGCAGAAUACAUGGGUCACAAGCUGCAUGUAGAUCAGAAUGAGAAGCUUGUUAUGUUUGGAGUGACUCAUGUUAUGGCUAUCGAUGGUUUCAGCAAGAAGGUGGUCGGUCACUCCACCAUGCCAAUAAAGAACAACAUCGUGAUUUAUGAGGAAGGGUACCGGUAAAUUAACUUCACAGACUUUGUAAGGUGGAACCCAAAGUUGUCUCCUUAGGAUGACCCAGACUUGAACAAGUACAUUAAAAAAGGUUAAAACCUAGAUUUGUAAUAUGGAAAUAAUUAAUUUGGAAAAAACAAAAAACUUUUUCCCUCUUCCAGUUUCUUAGUUAAUUUUCCAGUUUUACUAUUAUUGAUAUCAUUCCAAUUUUGACAAAAAAAUGUAAUUGUCACUUUAGCUGGCCAUGGCUAAGAGACUGAUGCUGUUUAUGUAUAUUUUACGUUUGUCGGUGAUUUAUCUUCAGGCCUGCUGUUCUUUCCUAUGGAAUAUGGGACCAGGUCAGAGUUGACUGUGGGAAAGAAUUCUAUCUGGCUUUAUUCAUCCAGGAAAAACUGGCAGAACAUCGACACAAUACUCAAAGGCAGCCCUACCUUCAGACACCUUCUACAAGGAACCAUGUGAUAGAGAGAAUGUGGUCGGAGGUGAAUGCUCGAGUCAACUACCCUUUGAAGACAGCUCUGGUACAGCUGGUGGACCAGGAGGAACUGGACAUGGAGGACAACACAUCCAGGUAUUGUGUGUCAAACCUGACAUGCCAGCUGGCUAGGAUUGGCAUCACAAAUGUACAGGCAUGGAAUGCACACAGGAUCCCAGGAAGGGGAAUACCAAACGAACUGGCUAAAGAAGGGUGUCCUGCAAAACUUUCUGAGGACCUUCUGCCAGUCGGUGCAGUUGCAGCUGACCUGUAUCAGCAGGAAAUGGGAUCAGCCUUGAAAAGAGAAUCCAUUUUUG